ACAAAAGAAAGAAGGAGAAAAAAAAAGAGAAAGGAAAAGAAAACGAAGAAUUUUUGAUCGUUGCGAGAAAGGGGGGACCUUCUCAUCUCUCUCUGUCUUCUUCUCUCUCUCUCUCUUUCUCUCUCUCUCCUCUUUCUCUCUCUU
rnacentral:ribozyme from 13 species